UGGGGAAUCAUGGUCAAUGGGCGAAAGCCUGAACCUGCGACGCCGCGUGAGUGAUGAAGGUCGUAAGAUCGUAAAACUCUUUUCAGGGAUCUUAAAGCCUGUCCGUCAACAACGGGCAGGUCUGACUCUCCCUGGAAGAAGCCCCAGCCAACUACGUGCCAGCAGCUGCGGUAAUACGUAGGGGGCGAGCGUUAUUCGGAAUUACUGGGUGUAAAGGGUAUUUAGGCGGCCCUUCAAGUCGCGCGUCAAAGUCCAGUGCUCAACGCUGGGUGUGCGCGCGAUACUGACGGGCUUGAGGGCUGGAGAGGUGAGCGUAAUUCCCGGUGUAGUGGUAAAAUACGUAGAGAUCGGGAGUAACACCAGCGGCGCAGGCGGCUCACUAGACAGAUUCUGGCGGUAAGCGGCGAAAGCGUGGGGGGCAAACAAGACUAGAAGCCGCUGUAGAC
rnacentral:rRNA from 1 species